CCUCUCUCCCUCCCUCCUUCCUCUUUCUUUUUUAAUCACCAGGCAUUGUGCUUGACAGCAAGGAAACAAACGUGACUAAGACCCUGACCCUGCCUUCAAGGAACUUACGGUUCAGGUGAAGAAAUGAAAGAAGCACAGGACUUGGAAGACAGACUCAGUGGCUGAAACUCCAAGACCAGAUCAUGAUAAGCUUUGAAGAGUUGUACACAGCAGUUAAGGAACCCCUUCCCUCAGGAAUUCCCACCAGGUUUGACCAUUUUAACAGAAGGCAGGGGGCACUGUUGACAUCCUCACAGGUCCAUGCAGACGUCAAAGGAAAAGCCCCCAAAAGGUUCCUGGAUCUCACACCAUGGAAAAACACAGAAGAUGAAAGAACAGUACUCUGGCCAGAAUUUAAGGAAAUUCUUAACAAAUUAGGUUUUCAUAUGAAGGAAAUGGGGUUUGAAAACUUUGGCAACGGUAACUUUCAUCUCAAGUAAAUUUCACUUACCACAGAACAAAUACUGAUCCAUACCUCUUGGAACUGCAAAGAAAAGGUGUGAUAUUAUUAUCCAUGAAAACACAUCUCUGUAUCUUGAAUUUGCUGGGCUUUGAAUUUCAAGCCAGAUGGGUAGUGAUAGGGAGGGUCUAGGGGUAGGGGGCUUCCCACCCUCUGCUCUCAUCCCUUGUUCCCUUCUCAUUUUGGACUCCAGUGCCCAGCAUGGGACCUGGCAUAUGGUGGACACUCAUUUAUU